UAGGGAAUCUUCCGCAAUGGGCGAAAGCCUGACGGAGCAACGCCGCGUGAGUGAUGAAGGUCUUCGGAUCGUAAAACUCUGUUAUUAGGGAAGAACAAAUGUGUAAGUAACUAUGCACGUCUUGACGGUACCUAAUCAGAAAGCCACGGCUAACUACGUGCCAGCAGCCGCGGUAAUACGUAGGUGGCAAGCGUUAUCCGGAAUUAUUGGGCGUAAAGCGCGCGUAGGCGGUUUUUUAAGUCUGAUGUGAAAGCCCACGGCUCAACCGUGGAGGGUCAUUGGAAACUGGAAAACUUGAGUGCAGAAGAGGAAAGUGGAAUUCCAUGUGUAGCGGUGAAAUGCGCAGAGAUAUGGAGGAACACCAGUGGCGAAGGCGACUUUGUGGUCUGUAUCUGACGCUGAUGUGCGAAAGCGUGGGGAUCAAACAGG
rnacentral:rRNA from 1 species